rnacentral:rRNA from 1 species
GUGAGUCAUCGAAUCUUUGAACGCAUCUUGCGCUCCUUGGUAUUCCGAGGAGCAUGCCUGUUUGAGUGUCAUUAAUAUAUCAACCCUCUUUUGCUUUUUUUUGCAUGUCGAGUGUUGGAUGUGGGGGUUUUGCUGGACUCUCUCCUUGAGGUCAGCUCUCCUAAAAUACAUUAGCAAAACAAUUUGUUUACUGCUCAUUGGUGUGAUAAAUAUCUACGCUAUUGGCGGUAUAAAGCACAGUUUAGCUUCUAACAGUCCAUUGACUUGGACAAUCUUUUAUCAAUGUGACCUCAAAUCUGGUAGGAUUACCCGCUGAACUUAAGCAUAUCAAUAAAGG